rnacentral:rRNA from 1 species
AUACGUAGGGAGCGAGCGUUGUCCGGAAUUACUGGGCGUAAAGGGCGCGUAGGCGGCGCUUCAAGUCGUCUGUCAAAUGGGAGGGCUUAACCCUUUUUCGCAGACGAAACUGGAGAGCUUGAGAAGCAGAGAGGCAAACAGAAUUCCUGGUGUAGCGGUGAAAUGCGUAGAUAUCAGGAAGAAUACCAGUGGCGAAGACGGUUUGCUGGCUGCAUACUGACGCUGAAGCGCGAAAGCCAGGGGAGCAAACGGGAUUAGAUACCCCGGUAGUCCUGGCAGUAAACGAUGUAUGCUGGGUGUGAGACUAGCGAUAGUUUCGUGCCGAAGUUAACGCGAUAAGCAUACCGCCUGGGGAGUACGGUCGCAAGAUUGAAACUCAAAGGAAUUGACGGGG